rnacentral:rRNA from 1 species
CACGUAGGGCGCAAGCGUUGUCCGGAAUUAUUGGGCGUAAAGAGCUCGUAGGCGGUCUGUUACGUCUGCUGUGAAAACCCGGGGCUUAACCCUGGGCUUGCAGUGGAUACGGGCAGACUAGAGGCAGGUAGGGGAGAAUGGAAUUCCCGGUGUAGCGGUGAAAUGCGCAGAUAUCGGGAGGAACACCGGUGGCGAAGGCGGUUCUCUGGGCCUCACCUGACGCUGAGGCGCGAAAGCGUGGGGAGCGAACAGG